rnacentral:lncRNA from 1 species
GAUCUUCAAGUCAUCAUAGUUCUCCCAAGUGGCAUCUUCUAUUGGUAGGUUUGCCCACUGUAUUAGCACUUCAUUAGUGGGUCGUCGUCGUCGAGUCACGAUCCGUCGAUCAAUAAUGGCACUUGGCUGGGUCUGGAGUUCUCUUUGGGUAGUCAUAUUUGGUGGGUGGCUUUGGGCUGUCUCCAAGCAUCUAUUUAAAACUUCC